rnacentral:rRNA from 1 species
CCUACGGGAGGCAGCAGUGGGGAAUAUUGCACAAUGGGGGAAACCCUGAUGCAGCGACGCCGCGUGAGCGAGGAAGUAUUUCGGUAUGUAAAGCUCUAUCAGCAGGGACGAAAAAAGACGGUACCUGACGAAGAAGCCCCGGCUAACUACGUGCCAGCAGCCGCGGUAAUACGUAGGGGGCAAGCGUUAUCCGGAUUUACUGGGUGUAAAGGGAGCGUAGAAGGCAAGGCAAGCCAGAAGUGAAAGGGCAGGGCUCAACCCUGGACAUUCUUUUGGAACUGUGGUGCUAGAGUGCCGGAGAGGUAAGUGGACUUCCUCGUGUAGCGGUGAAAUGCGUAGAUAUUAGGCGGCACCCCAGUGGCGCAGGCGUCUUACUGGACUGUACCUGACGUUGAGUCUCG